CUUUCCCUCCCACUGCUAUUAAAAGUACAUAAAUAAUGUAAACUUAGUUCAGGCUGCUACAUGUGAUCUUCUCACCAAGCUGGAAAGAGAGCAGUGAGUGCCCUGAUGAUACUGGUUGAAUGACUAGAACCAGCCAUGCCUAAAGCCUGAACACCUCUUUAGCUUUCCACUUACAUAAGCCAAUAAAUUUCCAUUUUUCCUUAAGCUAGCUAAAGUUGGACUUCUAAUUGUAUGGUAACCACAUUGUAAUCAUAAAAUUUAUAGCCCUACCAAUCCCUCACCUCGCUUUCUCCAAUAUGCUUUGCUGCUUGAAUAUAGGCAUGCAAAAACACAAGUGGUCAGCAGAUUUUAUCGAGGAGAAAGAUUUUGCCAGGAAAGUACAACAAGAAAAAGGUACAAGAGCAUCAGAACAAGCCUUACAGCCAACUUUCGUUCUUUUAAUCUCAACACUUGAGCCAAGGCAAGGAGAUUCCUGGCAACGCUGCAUUCACUGCCAACAAGGAUGCUUCUGGAAGGACAUGCUACUGAUAUUAAGGAAAGAAGAUCAGGAGGUGGAACCAAAAGAGACGAGGUUCCUGCCUUUGAUACUUGGUUUCGAUUUCAAUGCAGAACUAGCAUCCACUGUAUGCAGCCAUCUCUCCUGUACAAAAGAAUCCAGCGCUCAGUGUGCAAAGGAAAGAUGUUUACUUCCAGGGGCUUGGGGGAUGGUGCAAUAAUAAGGGUCAGAUUACAUGUGUGAUCAAUUUUGGCCUUUUGCACGUCAAUUAACAUAUCGUACUUGAAUGUUUUAUUGAUGGCAAAAUCCUAUAGUGGGAUGUUAUUAUGCUCAUAUUUUAAUGUCUUAGGGGUCAGCAUCUUGCACACAGAUAUCCACUAGCAUAUAUUCAAAUGCAGAAUUGCUAGCUUUAUCAUUUUAAAUGAUUUAAGCCAAUGAAAGGACACUCCAUUUGUUUGCUCAGUAGUCAAUUGAAAUGGAAACGGUUAGCUGAGUGCAUCUCCCUUGAAAGUCUCUUCCCCUCUAGUGCCAAUUACAGAAUAUGAAAGGUGCACUCCGCACAGCUUGCUCAGGAUAAUAAAUCACUAAAUUGGAAGCUUCA
rnacentral:lncRNA from 1 species